AUGCUUCACCAUUACCACCAUGGCGAAGUGGCCAGCCUGCACUGCCUCUCGCCCCCGAACCCGCCGUUCCACACCCACUAUCACCACCCCGGCAUGAUCGCCGCCAGCAUGACGCCCCCUCCGCCCUUCCACUUCUCACCGGCAGCCUAUGAGUAUGAGGACGAGCCUAUCCUGCAGGAAGCGCUGGCUGCCAUCGGCGAUAACAGCCCGCCCGGCUCCGGCGGGGCUGAUGACAUCCAUGGCCAGGUGCUGGCUUCAGCGGCGGAGGAGGAGCGGAGGCGGCGGAGGAUGGUGUCCAACCGCGAGUCGGCGAGGCGGUCGCGCAUGCGCAAGCAGCGGCAGCUCAGCGAGCUGUGGGCGCGGGUGGCGCACCUCCGCGGCGCCAACCGCCGCCUCCUCGACGAGCUCAACCGCGCAAUGAGGAGCUGCGGCGACGUCCGCCGCGACAACGACCGGCUCGGCGCCGAGAAGGCCGAGCUGGAGGCCAGGCUCGAGCAGCUCAUGCAGCAAGCACAACAGAGCACCAAAUCCUCAGAGCCAUGCGAGGAAAACACCACUGCCGCUGCUGCCGCUGCUGAAUAA
rnacentral:rRNA from 1 species